rnacentral:lncRNA from 1 species
AUGAACGGAUGACCUGCUUGCUGGGCUUCCCAUUACUAAUUCUUGAGACAUGAGGACCACUGAUUGAUAAGGGAAUUGUCUUACAGAGAUGGAUGAGCCUGCCUCAAGCUACCAUAAGAUGGGAGGACCGACGGUUGACUGACUCUGCCUGCUUGGUUGGCCAUUACCGAUUCUUGAGAAGAUGAGGACCGCCAAGCUUGGAUGAGACUGGAAAAUUACGAAGCUGCUCUAUCUGGACAAGGAUGCCCUCAUCAGACACUUUCCAAUUUGCGGAAUAUUGGAUCAAAAAUUUGCAAUAUUAUAAAACAUAAAAAUGACGAAAAUACGAAUUCUUACGCCAAAGUUACCGCUAUAAUUGGAAGAAAUAAUAGCUUAAAUCACUGUUACUUGUUAACUUUACUGAGAUACCUGAAAUAUUUGACAACGAAUAUGACGAAAAUUGAAGAAAAAAAGGCAAAUGUGUGUAAAAUACAUUGCAGUGAAAAUCAAAUCAUGAGCGGAUUUUUUUCUCACAGAAAUGCUUCUCGGCUUGCAACAAGUGUCUGAGAAAAUGAUGAAAUUUACGCCGAAAAUAACUGAAAUCAGUGUUGUUUUUACCUUUACUGCGAUACCUACCCAAAAUAUUUGACUAAACGCGUGUGACGAAACGUGGAAACAAAAAUCAAAUCGGUCCAAAUUAAAUAACAACGAAAAUCACAUAUUACGUGGAGUUUCUUCUCGCAGCACGGCACUCUGUUUCUACAGGUAGCUACAGGAAAAUUACACCGAAAAUCAACGCGGCAUAUGUGACGAAACAUAGUUUACACGGCUAAAAAAUCACAGCGUUAGUGAGAGAAAUAAUACUUGAUAUCAGUGUUAUUUUUCUUACCUACAAAGUAAAA